CAGUCGCCACGGUAAUACGGAGGGUGCAAGCGUUAAUCGGAAUUACUGGGCGUAAAGCGCACGCAGGCGGUUUGUUAAGUCAGAUGUGAAAUCCCCGAGCUUAACUUGGGAACUGCAUUUGAAACUGGCAAGCUAGAGUCUUGUAGAGGGGGGUAGAAUUCCAGGUGUAGCGGUGAAAUGCGUAGAGAUCUGGAAGAACACCGAUGGCGAAGGCAGCCUCCUGGGCCUGAUUUGACGCUGAGGCACGAAAGCGUGGGGAGCAAACAGGAUUAGAUACCCGCGUAGUCCCUGUCUCUUAUAC
rnacentral:rRNA from 1 species